CCAGACUCCUACGGGAGGCAGCAGUGGGGAAUAUUGGACAAUGGGGGGAACCCUGAUCCAGCGACGCCGCGGGAGUGAAGAAGUAUUUCGGUAUGUAAAGCUCUAUCAGCAGGGAAGAAAAUGACGGUACCUGACUAAGAAGCCCCGGCUAAAUACGUGCCAGCAGCCGCGGUAAUACGUAGGGAGCGAGCGUUUUCCGGAUUUACUGGGUGUAAAGGGUGCGUAGGCGGCUUGGCAAGUCAGUAGUGAAAUCCAUGGGCUUAACCCAUGAACUGCUAUUGAAACUGUCGAGCUUGAGUGAAGGAGAGGUAGGCGGAAUUCCCGGUGUAGCGGUGAAAUGCGUAGAUAUAUGGAAGAACACCAGGGGCGAAAGCGGCUCUCUGGUCUGUAACUGACGCUGAGGUUCGAAAGCGUGGGUAGCAAACAGGAUUAGAUACCCUAGUAA
rnacentral:rRNA from 1 species